UCUCUUUUUGUUUGCACUGAGGACAGUGCCAGAUUUUAAGUGGGGGGGGUGUUUGUUGGUUUUUGUAAAUCCUGUGGGUGUUUUCUUGUUGUAUUCCUGGGCUUUCUUGUGUUGGGGCGAAUGGUCCCCUUAUCUUGUCUUCUUGCUUGUUUUUAAGUGCAUCGCAUGUUGAUAGUGAUUCAUUGGCGAUUCUGGAUUGUGUUUGUGUUGUUUGUUGUCCUUGUCUGUCAUGAUUGAUUUGUUCCCAACAUGGUGUAAUUAGCUUAAGGUUUUGAUGCAACACCCUGCUGAGCAACUCUUGACGUGAUUUGUCCGGUAGAUGCUAGGGGGAGUGUUUUCAGUGCAAUUUUCUAAUAUCUUUCUGCUGUGCUGAAUUGUUUGGUUGGUUGUUGAGUUCUGAUAGCUCUGGGUCUCUGCUCCUCUAAUGGUUUCAUUAUGAGCAUGGGAAACCACAUGAGAAUAUUUUGGAUCACCUCCAAAAGUUCAAUCUCGUGAAUUAUGGCCCAUCUAUUAAGAGCGAAAAUAACUUGACCCAAAAAAAAGAGAAGUGAAAUGUGAAAAAAUGAACGAAUGUGAAAAAGGAAUGAGUUAUGAUUGUAAAGGAAAUUGCAUUAGGAAAUUCACCCCUAGCGGAGAAUCGGGUCUGAUCGGAUUGAGUUGUAUCACCUUGUUGUUGCAUUUUUAAACCUUAACUUUGAACAUCUGAUUGGGGACAUUGAUUUCUUGAAGGACUUGGAUUGGUUUGUGUUUGCUUGGUGAGGAGAAUCGCUUGUGGAUUUUCUGUCAAUGUUGUGAUUGUUGCUUGAGGACAAGCAAGGAUUUAAGUGUGGGGGGG
rnacentral:lncRNA from 1 species